rnacentral:rRNA from 1 species
AUUGAACGCUGGCGGCAGGCCUAACACAUGCAAGUCGAACGAGUGGAGGACGUGUGAGUAAUGUCUGGGAAAAUGCCCGAUGGAGGGGGAUAACUACUGGAAACGGUAGCUAAUACCGCAUACCAUCGGAUGUGUCCAGAUGGGAUGAGCUAGUAGGUGGUGUAACGGCUCACUUAGGCGACGAUCCCUAUCUGGUCUGAGAGGAUGCCCAGCCACACUGGAACGGAGACACUGUCCAUACUCCUACGGGCGGCAGCAGUGGGGAAUAUUGCACAAUGGGCGCAAUCCGUAUGCAGCAAUGCCGCGUGUAUGAAGAAGCCCUUCGGGUUGUAAAGUACUUUCAGCGAGGAGGCGUUACUCGCAGAAGAAGCAUCGGCUAACUCCGUGCCAGCAGCCGCGGUAAUAC